rnacentral:rRNA from 1 species
AUUGAACGCUGGCGGCAGGCCUAACACAUGCAAGUCGAGCGAGCGGCGGACGGGUGUGUAUUGUCUGGGAAACUGCCCGUUGGAGGGGGAUAACUCCUGGAAACGGUAGCUAAUAUCGCAUACCAUCAGAUGUGCCCAGAUGGGAUUAGCUAGUAGGUGGGGUAAGGGCUCACCUAGGCGACGAUCCCUAGCUGGUCUGAGAGGAUGACCAGCCACACGGGAACGGAGACAAGGUCCAGACUCCUACGGGAGGCAGCAGGGGGGAAUAUUGCACAAUGGGCGCAAGCCUGAUGCAGCCAUGCCGCGUGUGUGAAGAAGGCCUUCGGGUUGUAAAGCACUUUCAGCGGGGAGGCGUUACCCGCAGAAGAAGCACCGGCUAACUCCGUGCCAGCAGCCGCGGUAAUAC